GGAGCUCCCUUGUAUUUUUGUUUUGGAAAUAUUGGACGGCCCUAGGUGCGAUCGGUAAGGAGAGUGGCGUUCUAGAGUAGCACGUCAGUGGCACGAGGCGGCAGCAUCGGCUCGCCUGUCUCGCGAGAGUGACGCAUGUAGAAGAAGCUGGACCGGAAGUGUACAUAAUACAAGCUGAUGCGAUAAACGUACAUUAACAGAUACCCAAGCACAAU